rnacentral:rRNA from 1 species
AUUGAACGCUGGCGGCAUGCCUUACACAUGCAAGUCGAACGGCAGCACGGGGCAACCUGGUGGCGAGUGGCGAACGGGUGAGUAAUGCAUCGGAACGUACCUUUCAGUGGGGGAUAACGUAGCGAAAGUUACGCUAAUACCGCAUAUUCUGUGAGCAGGAAAGCAGGGGAUCGCAAGACCUUGCGCUGAUUGAGCGGCCGAUGUCAGAUUAGCUAGUUGGUGAGGUAAAGGCUCACCAAGGCGACGAUCUGUAGCGGGUAUGAGAGGAUGAUCCGCCACACUGGAACUGAGACACGGUCCAGCCUCCUACGGGAGGCAGCAUUGGGGAAUUUUGGACAAUGGGGGCAACCCUGAUCCAGCCAUGCCGCGUGAGUGAAGAAGGCCUUCGGGUUGUAAAGCUCUUUCGGCCGGGAAGAAAUCGCACGGGCUAAUACCCUGUGUGGAUGACGGUACCGGAAUAAGAAGCACCGGCUAACUACGUGCCAGCCGCCGCGGUAAAAC